AGAGUUUGAUCCUGGCUUAGGAUGAACGCUGGCGGUGUGCCUAAUACAUGCAAGUCGAUCGGGCGUAGCAAUACGUCAGAGGCGUACGGGUGAGUAACACGUAGGUAACCUACCUUUAAGACUGGGAUACCCAGACGAAAGUUUGGCUAAUACCGGAUAACAACAUUUGAGACAUCUCUUUUGUUUGAAAGGCGCUGCAAGGCGCCACUUUUUAGAUGGACCUGCGUCGCAUUAGCUAGUUGGUGAGAUAAAAGCCCACCAAGGCUGGGAUGCGUAGCCGAUCUGAGAGGAUGACCGGCCACAAUGGGACUGAGACACGGCCCAUACUCCUACGGGAGGCAGCAGUAGGGAGUUUUCGGCAAUGGGGGAAACCCUGACCGAGCAACACCGCGUGAGUAAUGAAAAGGUCUUCGGAUCGUAAAGCUCUGUUACGAGGGACGAAUGAUCGCUUUAGGAAAUGAGAGCGGUUUGACGGUACCUCGCCAGAAAGCGACGGCUAACUACGUGCCAGCAGCCGC
rnacentral:rRNA from 1 species